CCCUAUUAUUGUUUAAUUCAUCAAGAUUUUACAGGAAAUAUAACAAACACCAGUUUUUUUCAAUGUUUUUAAUUUGAAACAAGACAAGAAACAACAGUUCACUCACUUAAGCUUCUUAAAUGACAUUAAUUCAAUUCAAUUUAUUUGUAUAGCAUCAAUUCAUAACAGAAGAUAUCUCAGAACACAAAUAGAGCAGGUCUAGACCGAACUCCUUCUAACAUUAUUUAUAGAGAUCCAACCGUUCCCACCACGAGCAAGACCUUGGAGACAGCGGCAAGGAAAAACUUCCUUUUAAGAAGAAGAAACCUCGGACUGACCCCGACUCUAGGUGGGUGGCAGUCUGCCUCGACCAUUACCAUUACAGUAGUAGAAAAAAUAUAUAAAGAAGUUUAAUAAGAAAUAAAGCCUUUAGGUUACAUAUGAGACGGAUGGCGUAUAGAGAGGUGAGUUUUCAAGCACAAAUUGAUCGGUUUGUGCUUUUCAUUGGUUCUUCAUGUCAGCGCUUCCUGGCACAGACUGAUGGGAGGGACCCGUCACACCAAAAGUCAUCCCAGCAUUUCUGAUCU